UACGUAGGGUGCGAGCGUUGUCCGGAAUUACUGGGCGUAAAGAGCUCGUAGGUGGUUUGUCGCGUUGUUCGUGAAAACUCACAGCUUAACUGUGGGCGUGCGGGCGAUACGGGCAGACUGGAGUACUGCAGGGGAGACUGGAAUUCCUGGUGUAGCGGUGGAAUGCGCAGAUAUCAGGAGGAACACCGGUGGCGAAGGCGGGUCUCUGGGCACUAACUGACGCUGAGGAGCGAAAGCGUGGGGAGCGAACAGG
rnacentral:rRNA from 1 species